UACAGGGGGGGCAAGCGUUGUUCGGAAUUACUGGGCGUAAAGGGUGCGUAGGUGGCGCUGUAAGUCGGGUGUGAAAUUUCGGAGCUUAACUCCGAAACUGCAUUCGAUACUGCGGUGCUUGAGGACUGGAGAGGAGACUGGAAUUCAUGGUGUAGCAGUGAAAUGCGUAGAGAUCAUGAGGAAGACCAGUGGCGAAGGCGGGUCUCUGGACAGUUCCUGACACUGAGGCACGAAGGCCAGGGGAGCAAACGGG
rnacentral:rRNA from 1 species